rnacentral:rRNA from 1 species
CCUACGGGUGGCAGCAGUGAGGAAUAUUGGUCAAUGGGCGCGAGCCUGAACCAGCCAAGUAGCGUGAAGGAUGACUGCCCUACGGGUGGUAAACUUCUUUUAUAAAGGAAUAAAGUGAGGCACGUGUGCCUUUUUGUAUGUACUUUAUGAAUAAGGAUCGGCUAACUCCGUGCCAGCAGCCGCGGUAAUACGGAGGCUCCGAGCGUUAUCCGGAUUUAUUGGGUUUAAAGGGAGCGUCGCUGGGUUGUUAAGUCAGUUGUGAAAGUUUGCGGCUCAACCGUAAAAUUGCAAUUGAUACUGGCAGGCUUGAGUACAGUUGAGGUAGGCGGAAUUCGUGGUGUAGCGGUGAAAUGCUUAGAGAUCACGAAGAACUCCGAUGGCGAAGGCAGCUUACUAAACUGCCACUGACAUUGAUGCUCGAAAGUGUGGGUAUCAAACAGGAUUAGAUACCCGGGUAGUC